GGCCUAGAUAGCUCAGUUGGUAGAGCACCUGCCUGAAGAUGCAAGGGACCCGGGUUCGAUUCCCGGUCCAGUCA